AGAUCAGCGAGGAUAUAUAAGUCUGGCAUCUUCCGAAAUAGUCCAAGAGGAAUCCACUAUCUAUUUUACGUCAAGCUAUAGUAAUUUCCGAUACCAGUUUUGGUUUAGUAGUUGCUUCAAUAGACCUUUCUGCGAGGCAAGAAGCCAAGAAGAGUGCAACUUCCACAAUGACCACAUGCAACUCAAGUUGAUGGGCCACUGCUAUGCCUCGCACUGCGAGUUUGCUGCCACCGAACGCUGGCGACUUCAACUGUAAGUCUCUCUUUGAUACAUACAUGGAGCUGCCGACUCUCUGCUAUUGGGAAAGAAAGUAGUGAAACAGAAGGAAGUGGGAUCUCUGCCUGCAAGGACUUUUAAUGGUCAUGCAGGCUGGUGGAAUAAACCAUCGAUAAGCAUUUGGUGUUUAAUUAUCAAGAUGUUUAAAUAGCUGUUGCUGUACAACAUUUGGCCUAUUAAUAGCUUGAUUGAUGGGAAUUGAAAGAGUCUAGAGUAAUGAGGUGCUAAGCAUAUUGCCUUUCCUGAAGGUAGCACCUUUAAGUUCACUAAGUAUACGAUUGAAAAACUC